rnacentral:lncRNA from 1 species
CAGUGUUAAUUUAUGAAAGGGAGAUGCUAGUAGCCAAUUUAGAGAGGUAGAAUGGAUGAAAUGUGUUAGGAAUGCAAGCUCUAGGUCAACUCUCAAGCAUGGUACAGAUGCUAGAUUUAUCAUGGCUCUUACUGUUCCUAAUUCCUAGUAAACUUGUAAAAAGCUUUGAAUGGUGUGACGACAAUUUGGGCAUUUUGAAGUGUAAGUACUAAUUGUAUAAAACUAAAAAAUUUAUUGUUAUGGUUGAAUUAGGGUUUGAAAAAAUCUUGCCCUAGGCUCCUUUCGAAAGAGCACAAGUUUUCUAAAGUAUCUGCAGUUGUCUUUAGAUGUUUCCCUGGUUCAUUUUCUUUCUUAAGGUAUAAGCCUUAUGCAGUUGUUUUGGUAAUAAGAUACAUUUUAUGAGCGGAGUGAAAAAAAAAAAAGUCUCUUCCCAGUGAUGGUGAAAGCAACAGGAAAGUUUCCUGCUAACAGUACCUAUGUGUGAGUUUUUUAAAAAAAUUAUUUUAUUAUAGUUGAUUUACAGUGUUCUGUUAAUUUCUGCUGUACAGAAAGUGGUACAUAUAUAUAUAUACAUUCUUUUUUUCACAUUAUCCUCCAACAUGUUCCAUCACAAGUGAUUAGAUAUGGUUCCCUGUGCUAUACAGCAGGAUCUCACUGCUUAUCCGCUCCAAAUGCAAUAGUUUGCAUCUACUAACCCGAGAUUCCCAGUCCAUCCCACUCUCUCCCCCUCCCUUUUGGCAACCACAAGUCUGUUCUCCACGUCCAUGAGUUUGUUUAUUUUCUGAAGAUGGGUUCAUUUGUGCCAUGUAUUAGAUUCCAGAUAUAAGUGGUAGCAUAUGGUAUUUAUCUUUCUUUCUGUCUCACUUUACUUAGUAUGAGAGUCUCUGGUUCCAUCCAUGUUGCUGCAAAUGGCAUUGUGUUAUGCUUUUUUUUUAUGGCUGUAUUAUCAUGUUAUCCAGCUUUAUUGACUUGGAGGAGGUGCCCAGGGCACGACUAUGUUGUCUACGGAAUAAUUCCAAGAUGAUAGGGAAUCCACGGUCAGUCCAAAGGCCCUUCCUUUGAACUGUUCUUCGGGAGGUGACCCAGAGCACAAAGUCUGAAAGCCAAGAGUCUGUCUCUGGACACAUGUGAUCAGGGCAAAUGGCUCUUUUCUUCUCUGUCUGAGGUUCUGUAUUUGUUGAAUGGGAAACCCCCUGCUGGAUUCCUACCUCACAAGCCUGCUCCGUGGGGGUGCUGCAAGGCAUUUGAUGGUGGAGGUUGUUUAAAACCACUUGGUCUUGGUUUAGUUCACUUGUUGGCUGAAUGAGAUGUACUCAAACACUAGAAUAUAUAAAGAAGAGUUCCUUUGGAGCCCACAACUUCUGGGUGACCUGCAAACCGGUGAUCCUUAUCUCGCCAGGUAGAAGGCCAUGCCCUGGAAGCAAGAUGAGAACUCUUUCUGACAUUAAAGUACUGUUUAUGACCUUAUAGAACACCCAGUUUUUCCAAAGAGAUGACACAUUAAGUAAACCAGAACAAAAUCAGCUCUAUUAUCUUGUAAAGGGUCUGUUUUGAUGACUGCAGACAAUGACAGAGAGGAAUUGCUGUGAGCAAUAGGUGUUCUAGUGACUGUAGAGUGAGGAUGGUGCUUUUCACGGGAUUGCUAAAUGGAGCCACUCUUCUCAUUGUCGAGUCUGGACAUCUGUUGAAUGCCACAGAUUGCAGAGUAAACCAGUGGGAGCUUUGAUGCUGCACUGGUAGACUGCCCGCCAAGACCUGCUGUGUUCUGAAUUGCAGAAGGGCCGGGGGCCGGGGGGGAGAGGAGGACACUAGAGACAGGACUGGAUGCGAGAUCUGGUUCUGCUGGGGGCACUCGCCCCGCUAGUGGAAAGUGGAGGUUGUACGAAUCUGGAGAGAGACACUGCCUUAGGGUCAGGCUAGUCCCAGUCCAGGUGUGUGGUUUCCAACUCUGGUUUGAAAUGGAGAGAAAAACAUGCUUUCAGCCUCGUGUCAUGGGGCCACUUGGGAGUGAAUGAGGAUGAGCAGGGGUCCUUGGCACGGGUAGAGAGAGUUCCUAGUGGCCUUGGGACUAAGCGCAAGGACCAAGUGUGAUCUUCAACCAGCAUUUUCAAGCAGUUCCUGCAGCUGGGCUUCCAUUGCCUCGUCAGCCUUUUGCUUUGCUGGCGUCUCUUCUUCUGUCUGCCCCAUGGCUGAGUGAAGUAACCCGCUGUCUCUGCAGCGAUCUGCCAGGUAUCUAUAGGCAAAACCAAAUAAGGACGUAAAUAAAAGUUCUUGUUUCCAGAGAUUCAUUCUUUCAGAAUGCAGCCCCCAGCGUCUGCUGUUGUCUUGGUUAGUUUGCUGUGCAGAUUUUCUCCGUCUCCGCGUGUCUGGCUUGAUGGGUAAUCUUCCCAGUGUGGAAGAAGAGUUCAGAUUGGAAACAACGGGAUCUCAAGCAUUAGAAAAGCUUGAAGAAUUCAUUUUUCAUACCUGCUGCAAUGCAUUAAUGACCAAAGGUUACAUAAAACACCAAGUAUUUGAAUCUCAUGCUACAGAAAGUUAGCGAAAAUGCUUCAUGCCAUUUUCCGCUGCUAUUCCAAGACCACAUCUGUUUGGAACUGAACUGUAGCACGUGUGCCGGGGAACCUGUAUGAAAUUAACUUUUAUAGCUGCCUUUACAAGCAGGAUCCUUUAUUGUCUACAACUUGGCUGGGUUUCAGGAAGUUCCCGAAGUGAUUUAUUGUCAUAUGUGCCUAUUCUAUGGUGGCUGAUGAAACUGAUAUAUUAUUGAACAUAUGCAGUCAUUCCGACCAGCGACAACAGAUCAUCUAAGCCUUUUAUCCAAAAGGAUCGAAGAGUUCACGUUGUGGAAGAGAAGAGAAAGUUGACUAUUUUGUUUUAAGUGAAAUAAUUACUUGCAGGAGCAAAACAUUUGUUACCAAUCCUGUACCUCUUUUCUUUUUGCCAACAUAGCCAAAACGUUAGAAUCUAGAAUGCAUUGAUUAAUUAAAUACUUAAGGUAAUAUUCCCCCAACAGAUGUUAAGUCUCAUUCUUAUAAUAUCUGGGAUGGUUAGUUUUUCUUAUUAGACCAUGAUAUUAAGAGUUAAAUAUCAGGAAAUUAAAUUUCUUUCAUGUUACUUAAUGCCAAAAAAAAAAAAAAAUCCUCCAAACCAAUCUCCCCCCUCAAAAAAAUCCAACCCCCAAAACUCUCUCUUCUUGUUUAACAGAGGGGCCCAUUUGUCCAACCAGUCAUCUUUCAUAUGGUUGCAAGAGGAAUUUGAUGAAAUGGCAGGUGAUAACAACAGAAUCUCUCUUUACUAGUCAAAAAACUUCAGAGCAUAUUUUUCUGUUGAUGAAUCAGAACUUCCGUAUGUGAGAGACAGUGCCAUUAACUAAUAAACAAGAACAACAAUUGCAUUUGAUGAAAUUAUAGGAAAGAAAAAAUUAAAAUGUAGUCCUAGGACUGCAUUUAUAGCGUAUAAAAUAUUUAAUCCUGUGGCAAAAUCUGGAGUUUCUGGAUUCAGUGUACACUGGCUCAGCCAGAGAGCUAAUUGACACAUUCAUAUUUCAAUUGGAAAUGAGUAGUCAAAGAUCUGAGAGUUUCAGAUGGAUUUGGAAAUAAAGCUGCAAGACUUCAGGUCGUAUAAGGCUGUGUUAACCAGUGAGAAGAUUUAGAUCCAGUUUUCUAGUUACAGUGUCAAUUGAAAACAUUUGAUUUAUAGCGUCAGUGGAAAACAAACAGACAAGCAAAUCCCCAGGUGUUGUAUAAACACUGUCCACAGAGUCGUUUAUAAGACAAAGGUAGGGAGAGUUACUCCAAAUGGAAUUAGAGACAGUUGCUUUUUUUUUUUUCUCCCCUCUUGAUGAUAUAGAUGCCCAUUUUUGGGGAACAGAAUUUGGAUGCUAGUUGGGGGAUUCUGUCUAAUUCUCUUCCAGAAGCAUUUUUUCUUUCCUUUUAAAAAUGUGAUUCAUAGAGUUACCACCUUACUCAUCUGCAAAAGAAGUUUAGGUAUCAGCAGAUGUCAUUAGCUCUCUAAAAAUAGAACAGUAGAAACUGAAUUUAAGAGACUUAGCAGCAUUGAUUAACAAACUAAUCUCUCAAAUUCUGAGAUUGUGUCUGUGUACAGGCUGACAUGGAAUGAAUCCUAGCUGAGUGAGUGCCUUGGUAUUCAGUGUGCUUUUCCCCUCGCUUUAGGCUCGCUGGUUUGAUGGGGUUAGUUGCAUGUUUCAAAAAUGCGAUUCCCAGACGGGUGAGGUAGCGUCAUAUAGCGAAAUGAUCGUUCAUAGCUCUGGACAAUUGCUAAGCGUCAGAACACUCUGUUGCUGAGGCACCGCCGCACACUCUCGAGGCUGGAAGCAGACGAUGCCGAGUGCGGGGCUUACUACCAGGAACAUGGUCUUUGCUUAUGAAGGACACUGCACUUUCAAGGAGCUUGGAAACAGUUGAAUGUGGGUAAUGUUAAUUUGGUGUAAAACUUCAAGUGGCAUAUUACUGAUGCCAAAGAACAAAGCAAUUGAGGAUCUGGUAACGAAUUACUAACAGCACUGCCACUAUUUUAUGUAAGUGUGAACAGGAAUCAUAUGUUUCCUGUAGUUCAUCCUUGUUGGUGUACUUGGUGUUAUUGGUAAAAGUGUGAUAACGAGCAGCUCGUUGAUUACUGAGAAUUGCAGUGGGCUCCUUUGAUAACAGUAUUUUGUACCCAUGCCCAGGAGGGCCCUGGGCACAGUGGACAUUCUUUAAAAAAGUGAAACAAUUUAGUCGUUGUCGUGAUUCAAAGGCACCAUCACAGACGUGAGUCAGGAGACCCUGCCAUCAUCAUCCGUCGCUAAUGACCCUGUGAUUUGCUGUUGCAGGAAGCUGCUGAGACGACCACAGGGAGUUGUCUGGACUUUGCAGUGU